rnacentral:rRNA from 1 species
GAUGAACGCUGGCGGCGUGCCUAAUACAUGCAAGUCGAGCGAACGGACGAGAAGCUUGCUUUUCUGAUGUUAGCGGCGGACGGGUGAGUAACACGUGGAUAACCUACCUAUAAGACUGGGAUAACUUCGGGAAACCGGAGCUAAUACCGGAUAAUAUUUUGAACCGCAUGGUUCAAAAGUGAAAGACGGUCUUGCUGUCACUUAUAGAUGGAUCCGCGCUGCAUUAGCUAGUUGGUAAGGUAACGGCUUACCAAGGCAACGAUGCAUAGCCGACCUGAGAGGGUGAUCGGCCACACUGGAACUGAGACACGGUCCAGACUCCUACGGGAGGCAGCAGUAGGGAAUCUUCCGCAAUGGGCGAAAGCCUGACGGAGCAACGCCGCGUGAGUGAUGAAGGUCUUCGGAUCGUAAAACUCUGUUAUUAGGGAAGAACAUAUGUGUAAGUAACUGUGCACAUCUUGACGGUACCUAAUCAGAAAGCCACGGCUAACUACGUGCCAGCAGCCGCGGUAAUACGUAAGUGGCAAGCGUUAUCCGGAAUUAUUGGGCGUCAAGCGCGCGUAGGCGGUUUUUUAGUCUGAUGUGAAAGCCCACGGCUCAACCGUGGAGGGUCAUUGGAAACUGGAAAACUUGAGUGCAGAAGAGGAAAGUGGAAUUCCAUGUGUAGCGGUGAAAUGCGCAGAGAUGUGGAGGAACACCAGUGGCGAAGGCGACUUUCUGGUCUGUAACUGACGCUGAUGUGCGAAAGCGUGGGGAUCAAACAGGAUUAGAUACCCUGGUAGUCCACGCCGUAAACGAUGAGUGCUAAGUGUUAGGGGGUUUCCGCCCCUUAGUGCUGCAGCUAACGCAUUAAGCACUCCGCCUGGGGAGUACGACCGCAAGGUUGAAACUCAAAGGAAUUGACGGGGGCCCGCACAAGCGGUGGAGCAUGUGGUUUAAUUCGAAGCAACGCGAAGAACCUUACCAAAUCUUGACAUCCUUUGACAACUCUAGAGAUAGAGCCUUCCCCUUCGGGGGACAAAGUGACAGGUGGUGCAUGGUUGUCGCCAGCUCGUGUCGUGAGAUGUUGGGUUAAGUCCCGCAACGAGCGCAACCCUUAAGCUUAGUUGCCAUCAUUAAGUUGGGCACUCUAAGUUGACUGCCGGUGACAAACCGGAGGAAGGUGGGGAUGACGUCAAAUCAUCAUGCCCCUUAUGAUUUGGGCUACACACGUGCUACAAUGGACAAUACAAAGGGCAGCGAAACCGCGAGGUCAAGCAAAUCCCAUAAAGUUGUUCUCAGUUCGGAUUGUAGUCUGCAACUCGACUACAUGAAGCUGGAAUCGCUAGUAAUCGUAGAUCAGCAUGCUACGGUGAAUACGUUCCCGGGUCU